rnacentral:rRNA from 1 species
UGAGGAAUAUUGGUCAAUGGGGGAAACCCUGAACCAGCGACGCCGCGUGCGGGAUGAAGGGGCUUUGCCCUGUAAACCGCUGUCGGAGGGGAAGAAAAGCCGGGUUGCCCGGCUGGGACUGUACCCUUAGAGGAAGGUUCGGCUAGCUACGUGCCAGCAGCCGCGGUAAUACGUAGGAACCAAGCGUUGUCCGGAAUUACUGGGUGUAAAGGGUGCGCAGGCGGACUUGUACGUCAGAGGUUAAAUCCCACGGCUCAACCGUGGACAUGCCUUUGAUACGGCAAGCCUUGAGUGCGGGAGAGGAUAGUGGAAUUCCUGGUGUAGCGGUGAAAUGCGUAGAUAUCAGGAGGAACACCAGUGGCGAAGGCGGCUAUCUGGCCCGCAACUGACGCUCAGGCAC